GUGAUUGACUCCAAGGUACCAGAUCAGCAGGCAGCAUAUGAGAACACGAUUAACGCCCUUCUGGCGACCGUUUCCGGUGCCGAUGUGGUUCACGACGGAG
rfam:Thorarchaeota archaeon SMTZ1-83 WOR1_30_36_31333, whole genome shotgun sequence.